UACGAAGGGGGCUAGCGUUGCUCGGAAUCACUGGGCGUAAAGGGUGCGUAGGCGGGUCUUUAAGUCAGGGGUGAAAUCCUGGAGCUCAACUCCAGAACUGCCUUUGAUACUGAAGAUCUUGAGUUCGGGAGAGGUGAGUGGAACUGCGAGUGUAGAGGUGAAAUUCGUAGAUAUUGGGAAGAACACCGGUGGCGAAGGCGGCCAUCUGGACCACUACUGACGCUGAGGCGCGAAAGCGUGGGGAGCAAACAGGAUUAGAAACCCGGGUAGU
rnacentral:rRNA from 1 species